AGGUAUGCGGCUGAUCAGGCUGUGACACCUGAUUUGGCUGAUCUGGCUGGGCGUCCCCUUCCUCCCUCAUCGCUCCAUAUUCCUCCCUCCCAAGGCUCCGGAACCUUGGAUCCCAUCUCAGCAUCCAAGGGCCUGUGGUGGGAGGACAAUGGUCUCCAGUAGAUUUUCCUCCACAGAGGACUACUCUUGGGCCACAGGCGUACAAGAAGAUGCACCGUCCAGCUCGAAGCAUCGUACAAGCUUCUGAGGUUCAGGGUGGACCCAGGAUGGGGAGGGGCUGAUAUAAGUAAGA
rnacentral:snRNA from 1 species